AGAGUUUGAUCAUGGCUCAGAACGAACGCUGGCGGCGCGUUUUAAACAUGCAAGUCGAACGAGAAUCCCGGUGCUUGCAUUGGGAGGAGAGUGGCGAACGGGUGAGUAACACGUGGAUAAUCUGCCUCCAGGAUUGGGAUAACCGCUCGAAAGGGCGGCUAAUACCGAAUGAGAUGGCAGCCACACAAGUGGCAGCCAUUAAAGGUGGGGACCGCAAGGCCUACCACCUGGAGAUGAGUCCGCGGCCCAUUAGCUUGUUGGUAGGGUAACGGCCUACCAAGGCGACGAUGGGUAGCCGGCCUGAGAGGGUGAUCGGCCACAUUGGGACUGAGAUACGGCCCAGACUCCUACGGGAGGCAGCAGUUAAGAAUCUUGCGCAAUGGGCGAAAGCCUGACGCAGCGACGCCGCGUGGACGAUGAAGGCCUUCGGGUUGUAAAGUCCGGUAAGCAGGGAAGAAUAAGUUCCGGAUAAUACCCGGAACGAUGACGGUACCUGCCUAAAGCCCCGGCUAACUACGUGCCAGCAGCCGCGGUAAUACGUAUGGGGCGAGCGUUGUUCGGAAUUAUUGGGCGUAAAGGGCGUCUAGGCGGGGGAUUAAGUUAGUUGUGAAAUCCCUGGGCUCAACCCAGGAACUGCAUCUAAAACUGGUUCUCUUGAGUUCGGGAGAGGAGAGCGGAAUUCCCGGUGUAGCGGUGAAAUGCGUAGAUAUCGGGAAGAACACCAGUGGCGAAGGCGGCUCUCUGGCCUAGAACUGACGCUGAAGCGCGAAAGCGUGGGGAGCGAACGGGAUUAGAUACCCUAGUAGUCC
rnacentral:rRNA from 1 species